UACGGAGGGUGCGAGCGUUGUCCGGAAUCACUGGGCGUAAAGGGCGCGUAGGCGGCAGGCCAAGCGUGCUGUGAAAGUCCGGGGCUCAACCCCGGAUCUGCCGUGCGGACUGGUUUGCUAGAGCACUGUAGAGGCGAGUGGAAUUCCGGGUGUAGCGGUGGAAUGCGUAGAGAUCCGGAAGAACACCGGUGGCGAAGGCGGCUCGCUGGGCAGUGGCUGACGCUGAGGCGCGACAGCGUGGGGAGCAAACAGG
rnacentral:rRNA from 1 species